rnacentral:rRNA from 1 species
AUUAGAUACCCUAUUAUUUUUAUUGUAAACAAUAUAAGCUUGAGUAUUAAUAGCUAUGAUCUUUAAACUUAAAGAAUUUGGCGGUAUUAUAGUCUAUUUAGAGGAAUCUGUUAUGUAAUCGAUAAUCCACGUUGAACCUUACUUAUGUUUUUUUUGUAUACCGCUGUUUAAGAGAAUACUUUUAGGUUAUUUUCAAAAUAUUUAAUUUGUUAAUAUUUCAAGUCAAGGUGCAGAUGUAUAUAAGUUGAAUAAUGGAUUACAAUAAAUUUUAUUUAUUAUGAAUGUUUAUUGAAAUAUAAAUUUGAAGGCGGAUUUAAUUGUAAUUUUAUAAAGAUUAUUAAAAUGAUUUUUAGCUCUAUAAUAUGUACACAUCGCCCG